UACGUAGGGUGCGAGCGUUUAAUCGGAAUUACUGGGCGUAAAGCGUGCGCAGGCGGUUCGUUGUGUCGGCGGUGAAAGCCCCCGGGCUUAACCUGGGAAUGGCCGUUGAAACUGGCGAACUGGAGUGUGGCAGAGGGGGGUGGAAUUCCGCGUGUAGCAGUGAAAUGCGUAGAGAUGCGGAGGAACACCGAUGGCGAAGGCAGCCCCCUGGGCUAACACUGACGCUCAGGCACGAAAGCGUGGGGAGCAAACAGG
rnacentral:rRNA from 1 species